rnacentral:rRNA from 1 species
GACGAACGCUGGCGGCGUGCUUAACACAUGCAAGUCGAACGGUAAGGCCCCAGCUUGCUGGGGUCCACGAGUGGCGAACGGGUGAGUAACACGUGGGUGACCUGCCCUGCACUUCGGGAUAAGCCUGGGAAACUGGGUCUAAUACCGGCUAGGACUAUGGUGUGGAUACUGUGGUGGAAAGUUUUUUUGGUGUGGGAUGGGUACGCGGCCUAUCAGCUUGUUGGUGGGGUAAUGGCCUACCAAGGCGGCGGCGGGUAGCCGGCCUGGGAGGGUGGACGGCCAGAUAGGGUCGGAGUCAGGGCCCGGACUGCUUCGUGAGGCAGGAGGGGGUAAUAUUGCACAAAGGGCGGAAGACUGCCGGAUCGACGACGGGUGGGUGAUGGAGGCAGUCGGGUGGUAAGCUCCUUUCUCCUUCGACGAAGGGUUACGGACGGUAGAUGGAGAAGAAGCACGGGCUAACUACGG